UCAUCCCUAGGGUGAGCUGCGGUGUGAUUCUGGGCAGCACACGAUUGCUACGUGCACAGAGCACAGAGACUCAAGCUGCACUUUUAUUACAGAGUGUACCCCUUAGUGUUGGGUUUGGAAUGCUGUUGGAAGGGAAGUCCACUCAGAAAGGACAUGGUUGGGCUGGACCACGUGGGCACAGGAGAAUAGACAGUUUUGGGCUGCCUUUGACUUCAGCAAGCAGGUGACAUCAGCUCUUGGGAAAGGAUGAGACAAAAAGAUUGCCUUGACUUCAAGGUCAGCUCCGUCUACAUAGCAAGUUUAUCCAGACUGCACUGAAAAGAUGGAGACUAUCUCACAAAAUAAGGAACCCAGCUGAAGAGCAGGCAGAAUGUAAGAGCCAGAGGAAUGGAGGACACCAGGAGAUCAAUCAGCUGAACCAAGCUCAUGUGAGUUCAUAGAGACUGAAGCAGCAAGCACAGCGUCUGCUCGGGU